rnacentral:rRNA from 1 species
AUACGUAGGUGGCAAGCGUUGUCCGGAUUUACUGGGUGUAAAGGGCGUGCAGCCGGGACGGCAAGUCAGAUGUGAAAUCCAUGGGCUUAACCCAUGAACUGCAUUUGAAACUGUCGUUCUUGAGUACCGGAGGGGCAAUCGGAAUUCCUAGUGUAGCGGUGAAAUGCGUAGAUAUUAGGAGGAACACCAGUGGCGAAGGCGGAUUGCUGGACGGCAACCGACGGUGAGGCGCGAAAGUGUGGGGAGCAAACAGGAUUAGAUACCCUGGUAGUCCACACGGUAAACGAUGGAUACUAGGUGUGCGGGGACUGACCCCCUGCGUGCCGGCGUUAACACAAUAAGUAUCCCACCUGGGGAGUACGAUCGCAAGGUUGAAACUCAAAGGAAUUGACGGGG